CCCGCACUACAACCGCUCAGCGCGGGCGAUGAAGCGCUCUGUCUUGGGCCGCCUUGGCGCUGGCGAGUCUGAGUCCAUGA
rfam:Geobacillus sp. BCO2 LR69_contig000001, whole genome shotgun sequence.